rnacentral:rRNA from 1 species
AAUUGGAGGGCAAGUCUGGUGCCAGCAGCCGCGGUAAUUCCAGCUCCAAUAGCGUAUAUUAAAGUUGUUGCAGUUAAAAAGCUCGUAGUUGAAUUUCGGGAUCAAUAUUUCGGUCAUGCCGUUGGUAUGCACUGUUAUCAUUGAUUUCUCACCUUCUAAAGAACCGUAAUGCCAUUAAUUUGGUGUUACGGGGAAUUAGGACUGUUACCUUGAAAAAAUUAGAGUGUUUAAAGCAGGCUCACGCUCGAAUACAUUAGCAUGGAAUAAUGAAAUAGGACAUCCGAUUCUAUUUUGUUGGUUUCUAGGAUCGAUGUAAUGAUUAAUAGGGAUAGUUGGGGGCAUUAGUAUUCAAUUGUCAGAGGUGAAAUUCUUGGAUUUAUUGAAGACUAACUACUGCGAAAGCAUUUGCCAAGGAUGUUUUCAUUAAUCAAGAACGAAAGUUAGGGGAUCGAAGACGAUCAGAUACCGUCGUAGUCUUAACCAUAAACUAUGCCGACUAGGGAUCGGAUGAUGUUAAUUUUUUAAUGACUCAUUCGGCGCCUUACGGGAAACCAAAGUGU